UACGUAGGGGGGCGAGCGUUGUCCGGAAUUAUUGGGCGUAAAGAGCGUGUAGGCGGUUCGGUAAGUCUGCCGUGAAAACCUGGGGCUCAACCCCGGGCGUGCGGUGGAUACUGCCGGGCUAGAGGGUGGUAGAGGCGAGUGGAAUUCCUGGUGUAGCGGUGAAAUGCGCAGAUAUCAGGAGGAACACCUAUUGCGAAGGCAGCUCGCUGGGACGUAACUGACGCUGAGACGCGAAAGCGUGGGGAGCAAACAGG
rnacentral:rRNA from 1 species